rnacentral:rRNA from 1 species
UACGUAGGGCGCAAGCGUUGUCCGGAAUCAUUGGGCGUAAAGAGCUCGUAGGCGGUUUGUCGAGUCUGCUGUGAAAACUCGAGGCUCAACCUCGGGCUUGCAGUGGGUACGGGCAGACUAGAGUGCGGUAGGGGUGACUGGAAUUCCUGGUGUAGCGGUGGAAUGCGCAGAUAUCAGGAGGAACACCGAUGGCGAAGGCAGGUCACUGGGCCGCAACUGACGCUGAGGAGCGAAAGCAUGGGGAGCGAACAGG